rnacentral:tRNA from 1 species
CGGAACAUAGCGCAGCCUGGUAGCGCGCUCGCCUUGGGAGCGAGAGGGCGUGGGUUCGAAUCCCGCUGUUCCGACCA